UGCCCACACACACCCUCUGCAUAUGCAGACACACCCACAGUUCAAGGAGAGGGGAGGCUGUGCUGACCUGGCCGGGCUGGGCGGGAACUCGAUACCCCACCCGGACCUCACACACCUGGCAGUGCCUUGGAACCUCCUCUCCCAGGACACGGCCCCUGCUGUUCUGGGUCUCAGGCUGACUAGACCCCACUCUCCGGAUCGUCUCUGAUGAGCAGUCACUUACAAAUGACAGACCCCACAGGAAAGGACAGGCGUGCGUCAGGCAGUGGAGUGACCUGCUUUACAGAAGACCCGCUGCUGGCAGGAGCCGUCUGGACCAACGCCCCGUCAGGGACCCCAUCGAGCAUCUCCUGCUGCCCCCCAGUGGCCAUGGGAGGACACCGGGGAAAUCACAGCUGCAUGGAGCUGCUCAUCAGCCUGUCUGAGUGGACUCUCAGGGCCCCACGUGGUUCCCAGACAGACAGUUAUGGGGAAGCCAGGCCUUUCAACUGGUCUGAGGGAAGGGCCUUGGAUCCCAGCACAGAUCUGGAGACCACCCGGAAGGUCAGCUCCUCAACGGCAGAGCCGUCGUCAGUCACAGCUGCAUCCCCGGUGCCCAGCACGACGUGGGUCCUCGGGAAGCAUGCUGCACUAAUGGCCCACUCCCUGGGCUCCUGGGGGAGGGCAGCGCUGUAGCAAGCCCUGGGCCCGGCUCAGAGCCCCAUGGAGAGGCUGCCUGAAGGUCAGCGGGCAUCUCACACGUGGAAGCCUCCAAGACAGUGAGGGGCUUGGGCCUGAGGCUGGACAGUUUUCACUUGUGACUUCAGGGAUUGUGCCUCUCUCUGAUCCCAAGCCCAUAGUUCCUCACUGUGGUUACAAGGUCCUGUGCUGGCUGGCGGCCUGCCUGGUCCCUGGCUCUGCAAGCCCAGGUGGGACUUCCUCCCAGCCCUCUCGCUGCCUCCUCAGCGAGAGUCAGAACCAGAGGCCCCGCACCUGGGUCUCUGGUCAGCAGGCAUUGUUCUCCUGUCCUCUUCUGGGGAAGGGGCAUCUGUGCUGCCGUGGAACAUCCCAGGCCUGACACCUCUCCCAAGAUGAAGAGGCCGGGUGUCCUAGAGAACCAUAAGAUGGAGGGACCUUAACACUGCGAGGUUGGUUAGGGCUGUCCUGGAGAAGUGCCUGGGCAGUGAUGGACCAGGCAGUGGCAGGCACACCAGGGUUCCAUCCACAGUGCUGGGCACUGGCCCCUGGCCCAUCUUAAGCCCGAAGGGCUUACGACAAAGGGGCUGCCAGGGUCUCAAGCCACCCUCCUCACCUAGCCCGCCAACCAAGGCCAGGGCUGAGACUUUUUUUUCUUUACCAAAUUCUCAGGGGAUUAUGAAUCACUGAGACUAACUCUGAACUAUCCUCACCUGAUCUUCCCCAAGACUAUGGUCCAGAUCCUAGAAUGUUUGUUUUAAAUGGAGAACGCACACUUUAAAGAAACACACAUUUCAGUAACAUGUUUUACCAGUUUCUUUGCUCACCACCUGUAUUUUUAAAAUCUUUUUAUUUUGAAGUAUGGAUUCAUACAAAGUUUGGUUUUCGUUUUUUUUAACAGAGUCUUACUCUGUCACCCAGGUUGGAGUGCAGUGGCAUGAUCUCGGCUCACUCAACCUCCGCCACCAGGAUUAAAGUGAUUCUCAGGUCUCAGCCU
ensembl:lncRNA